UAUAAAGGAUUUUGAAUUUUUGUUUGCAACGUUUGACCACUCGUCUUAUUCAAUUUUUUUCAAUUACUAUUUAUUUUAUUUGUGAUUUACUUUAUUAUCUACGGUACUUUAAGCACAACUUUUCAUUUUCUAUAUUUGGAAAAAAAUUUGAAUAAGACGAGUGGUCAAACGUUGCAAUCAAAAACUCAAAAUCCCUUAUA
rnacentral:pre_miRNA from 1 species